ACAUAUAAUGUGUUACGUUAACAAAUAAUUGUAAUUGCCAUAAUUUAAAUAUAGCUGACACCACCUUAAAUGGAGAUCCCCUAAUCAUAAAUUAUUUCAAUAUUUAAUUAUAGCCAUAAAUACCAAAUAUUUUGCUUUUAGUGUGAAAACAAAUGUAUAAUCGAGAAAGCGUACGUAAUUAAAUUACCAAUUCCCAAUUUGUUUCACGCGACACAUUGCGUAAAUAAUAUACGAAUUAUAAUUAAUUAAGCUUCAUUCAUCGUGAGACACGUGCGAUUGAAAUAAGAGCGCGAAUAUUGGAAGUUAUGUAACCAUCCUAUCGUUCGUGAGAAACUAGUUAAACAAGUAACGGAAGUGUCAAAGCGUAAUCAGAGAAAUGUUUUGACAUGAUUAUCACAUGACGGCCGGCAAAUCAAGAGUAAACUAUACAUAUGAAAGAACUUACGAAACAUUGCAAAACAGAGUAUUAAAAAAUUAAAGUAAAAUAAGUAUAUCGCGUAUUUUCUAUAACAACGCUACAACUUAAGAAACAAAGUUUUUCAGAAUAUUUUGAAUCAUUAAAAAUAAUACUUUUAAAUGCGAUUUUGCUAUAACGAUUUGAUCUAGUAAUUAUAAAGAAAUAAAAGUAUCAUUAGUUCCUUAUUCUUCAGUGAAUAUUGAGGUCCUAUCAGAAUUUUUUUUACAAAUAAUUGAAAAAUUGUAUUUUUUGAAUCAAUUGUCAUAGUUUUAAUAAAUGAGCGAUUUCAAAUAAUUAGGCGAGUUUUUUUAAUUCAUCGAUUGAUUAGACGCAUUAUGCAUAAAUGGAACUUUGUACUGUGAAUGUUGCAUUUGCGAAUAAUGUGAUCGAUCAAUCGAUGAAUUGAAAAACUCGCCUAGACGAGUAGUCAUAACAAUUCAAAUACUUUAAAUAGUAUUGGAAAAAAAAUUUUACGAAUUUUUCCAAUUUCUAACAUUCGAUCCAAUUUUCUUUUCAUACAUUUAAUUUAUAUUAUUUUUUACUAUCAAUUUAAUAACAAAUAUAAUGUAUGUUUUAAGAAGACAGUAAUUAUAUAAAAAAAUAUGUUGAUUUAAUAAAAGUAAUUAGACUAUAAGAAAGAUAAUAAAAUGAGAGAGAAUCAAUUCCAAAUUAUUUGCCAAAGAAUAUCUCUUUGCUUUGAAUUGUUUUUAAAGGCACUUGCCGCGGUUAGUUCUCACCAUUAAUCCCGGCCAAUUAAAGCUCUCAGUAAAUUAAUUAAUUGUGUACGCAGAACUUUACUGCGCUUCAUAAAACGAAAUGACGCGAUGGCAGAAUAGUGUCACCAUGGUCGCGCAGCAAAGAGUACCAAGCUAAUAAUACUAUCGCUGCUCCCGGGAUCGUUCGACGAUAAGCUACGCUCUCGCCGAAUUCAAUUUCGCCACCUGAUUAAACAGAACGACGAAUAGAAAAAAUAAAUAAAUUAAUUUAGACGAGUGAGUUACGGUCGUGAGUUGAUUUUCGCUUUGGAAUAACAUUCUGGAAAACAAACUCGAUCAAGGGAGGCAUUGUUACAAAAAUGUUUUAAGUUUACUUCAACGCAAUUGAAAAGUUCGCGGCGCAAUUCUAUUCCAACGCUCGCUUUUUAAACCAAUUCUCGAACGAUUAAUUGUUCUUAUUGUUAACUUUCUCAAGCUCUUUGAAAGCUGCAAAUUGCUGUUGCGUUAAAUGCUUUAACUUGGAAUUUGAAACAUUCCGAAUUUUAAGCUACAAAUCUUGAAUUCGAAUGUGUUGACUAGAUAAAUCGCAAAAAACUUGAUGUUUGGAUAUUGGAAAAGCGUCACAUUAUCGUUUAUAUGACGAUGACGUGAUGCUCAUAUGACAUAUUGACGAUCAAUAAACGUGAUAAAUGACGUGAAGAAUGAUCGUAAAAUCUGAUAGCUUGCAAAUGGUCGACAAACACUGAAUCAUAAAAUUCAUUGUGAUUGUGUAAUAUUGCACUAUAAUAUACCGUAUAUUUAAUAUUUUCAGAUAUACAAUUGUUACACGGAAAUAAUGAUUUUAAUGCUAAAAUAUCUAAAAACUUGAAUUAGAUACAGAUCCGGAAAUAAUUUUGUUGAAUCAAAAUAAUUAUCCCAAAUGGGAAUUAAAUGCCGAUACGCCAAAGAGAAGAUUUUUGCUGGUGGAGGAAGGCAUCCGUCUUCACAGUACAUAUAAUUUUGACUCAACAUUCGCAAUUUCGUCAUCUCCCGUACGAUUUACGCUGAGUACGAAAACAUCGAGCGAGUUAAAAUAUCUAAUGCUAUUUAUUCCGAGCCGACUAACGGAAUAAACAUCGAGGAAAAUGCUAUCCGCGGUGGAUGCGACGUUCGAGACGCUAUUAUCUGAGACAUCGAGUCUGCCACGAGCUGUCAGCAUUGUCAGCUCGUAAGAGGUGUCUCCCGACAUCGCUUGUUGCCCAUGUCAUUUAUCAUGAAAGCUAUCCCAACUAAAUCUUGGCACGCUGAUCAUAGGAAAGAGCAAAAGAGUUUCAUUCAUGAAGCUCCACUCCGACGUUUUCGGAGGCUAUGACUAGCUGUGGCAUCCACCAAUGUUUAGAGAAGCUUAAACAAACUGAGUGUGCUCUGAUUUCUAUCGUAGUGUGCAAACCACUCGCAAAGAUGGAUUAAGAAAUUUAAAAGCAAGUAUAUAUAGUUGAAUUAUCAAAGAAUACACAUAAAAUAACAUUCUCAUCUUGAGAAUAUCUUUAUAUUCAGAUUAUAUAGUUAAAGACCAACUUACUUACAUGAAGAAGUUUUGCACAGUUUCAUUGAGAAAAAUAUAUUCUCAUUAUUCAAUAAUAAUUUUCAUGAGUUGAGAAGAAAAGGCAUCAAAUAGAAAAUAGCAACAGCUUCAAACCAAGAAUUAGAAUUUUUUAAUCUAUUGUUAUCAAAACAUUAUCAUGUUCUUUAGAUGAUUAUUGUACUUAAUGCUCGGAAACGUGAUGAUUGAAUAGUUCGGAUAAUUUAAACUGAAGGUAUAUUUGAACUGUUUGAAUCAUUUUAUUUUAAAUUCGAAAGUUUAAACCUAAAUUUUUUUACAUAGAAGAUUUUUGAUUAAAAAAUCUGUUUGCGUUGCUUGCACUUUUUGCACUCAGCUUCAUUUCUUUCAGUUUCUUUUUAAUGAUCAAAUAUAGAGGUGUCCAAGUUCACCUUAUUUAAAAACGAGAGAAGCGGUUACUUUAAAAAAUGUUUUAGGAAUUAAGUAAUGCAUUACAUGAGUAUACGUAAUUGAUUUUGGGGUCGUCAAGAUUAUGUCAAGAUAGACUAAUUUUUUAAAGAGAAACCCUUAUUUUUUAUUGCAUUUAUUUUUCUAGCUGAUGUUAAAUGUUUUCAAAACAUUGAUUACAAACCCUUUUUAGUUGAGAUCUUCCAAAGUUACGAAACUUUAAACUUUAAAUACCGUCGGCAUGUGUCAGAUUUACACACAUAACACGAAAGAGAUAUAAAUCCAGGAAACAUUCAUGUGGUAUACUUUGGAUAACGCCAGCUGCCAGCGGUACUAAAAUUUUGAAGUCCCAUAAUUUUGGAAGAUCUCAACUAAAAAGGAUUUGUGUUUUGAAACCAGUGUUUUGAAAAUAAUGUUUUCACAUUAGCCAUGAGAAUAUGCAAUAAAAAAUAAGGGUUUCCAUUUAAAAAAUUAAAAUCGAUUUUGACAUGAUUCUGAUGACACCACCCAAGAUCAAUCACAUGCUAUAAUGCAUUCCUUGAUCCUCAACAACCUUUGUCUGAAACAUUUUUUAAAAUAGGCACUUCCUUCAUUUUUGAAUAGAGUGUACGGGUAGUCUCAGACAAUAAUCUCUGUAGAUUCAUUUUAUUUUAAAUGUAAAAAUUUUUGGAAACUUUAAACAUCAACAAGUACAACGAUUACAAAUAUAUAAAGAAGACUCGUGAAAAAUUGUUCUUUUAUUUCCAAUGCAUAUUGCAUUUCCUUUUUUAUUUGCUGUCUAAAUUGUGCAAAUUAAAAAUGUAACGAAUUGACAUUACAGACAAUCACAGCUUAAAUUUAAAUUAUCCGAAUUAUUCAAUUUAAAAUAUUCGAACUGGAUACAUAUUCAUUUUUUGUUACUCCGAAUUAUUCAAACAGAUUGAAUAUGUUUGUAUACAGUAUAUAUGAAUCUUUUAUUCAAGGUCUAAUUAUACUGUAUCAAAAUAGAGAUGUAGUAUAAUGUUUUAUUAAAAUUUAAGAUUAUCAAAUUUUUUAAAUAAGACUUAAUUAAAGAAAAGAAACAAAUAUUGUUUUAAAAGAAACAAUACUGGCUUUGUUUCCGGGUAAUAUUUCUUAAACACAAGCUAAAAAUAAAAAAAUACAAAUAAAAACUAAAAAGUAUCCUCUAUUAGUAUGGAAACGUUACAACAGUUUUUAUAAUAUACUGUUUCGUAUUUUGUAAUAAUUAAUGUUUUCCAACACAACCCAAAAAGAUCGUUUGAAAAAUUAAACUCCCAAACUGGCACAGUAGGCAGUAAUGGCAAAAUUCAGAUACGGUCCCACGGGGAAAAAGUUAACAAUAAAAUAAAUUGAUAAACUAAAUAAUAAAACACAUAAUCUAUUUUUAUUAUAAUGUAUUCAUUGUAAUAUUUAUUAUACCUAAUAUAUCUUUUAGCCGAAGAUUGUAAAAAUUAUUAUUCAGCACUAAGAUCCACUGUUUUAGAAACUAAACAUUGCAAUUAUUAAUGAUAAAAAUAUGCUCUUAGAUAACUACCGAUAAAAAUGUCAAGCAUAAAUAUGAGAAGCUACAACAUGUAAAGUGAUCUAACAUAUACAUUCAAUAAUAUACUCACUAUUAUUUAAACUAUACAAUUUGCAAGAGCAAAUCGUGCAAAUUUUAUUCUGACUUUUCAAGUAUUCGUUUUAAGCAGAUAGUUUAUAAAGAAAAAGAACCAUGAAUGUAUGAAAAUUGGGUUUUUAUUUCUUUAGUUAUCUAAGCAGACCAUGUUUUUAUCAUUAUUAAUAUAGUGUAAUGUUUAGUUUCUGAGAAAUAAGAGGAUGACGUUUUAGGAAAUUUAUGUCAAUAUUGACGACUUUCUUCAACAUAUAAUCAAGAUAAUCAUUUUUUGUUAAAUUUAUAUUUUUACUUAUAUAUUAAACAAUAAUUGUUAAAUAGAAUAUAUUAGUUUGAAUUAAAUACUAACGUUUCUCUGUA